rnacentral:rRNA from 1 species
ACGGAGUUCUUAAGGAAUGCGGCUUCGGUCAAAUGACUUUUGAACUUAGUGGCGGACGGGUGAGUAACGCGUGAGCAACCUGCCUUUCAGAGGGGGAUAACAUUUGGAAACAGAUGCUAAUACCGCAUAAGAUUACAGUACCGCAUGAUACAGUGAUCAAAGGAGCAAUCCGCUGAAAGAUGGGCUCGCGUCCGAUUAGAUAGUUGGUGAGGUAACGGCUCACCAAGUCGACGAUCGGUAGCCGGACUGAGAGGUUGAACGGCCACAUUGGGACUGAGACACGGCCCAGACUCCUACGGGAGGCAGCAGUGGGGAAUAUUGCACAAUGGGCGAAAGCCUGAUGCAGCAACGCCGCGUGAGGGAAGACGGUUUUCGGAUUGUAAACCUCUGUUUUCGGUGACGAACAAAUGACGGUAACCGAGUAGGAAGCCACGGCUAACUACGUGCCAGCAGCCGCGGUAAUACGUAGGUGGCAAGCGUUAUCCGGAAUUACUGGGUGUAAAGGGAGCGCAGGCGGGAUAGCAAGUCAGCUGUGAAAACUAUGGGCUCAACCCAUAAACUGCAGUUGAAACUGUUAUUCUUGAGUGGAGUAGAGGCAAGCGGAAUUCCGAGUGUAGCGGUGAAAUGCGUAGAUAUUCGGAGGAACACCAGUGGCGAAGGCGGCUUGCUGGGCUCUAACUGACGCUGAGGCUCGAAAGUGUGGGGAGCAAACAGGAUUAGAUA